rnacentral:rRNA from 1 species
UACGGGGGGGGCUAGCGUUGUUCGGAAUUACUGGGCGUAAAGGGCGCGUAGGCGGUCUGCUAAGUUGGAUGUGAAAACUCUGGGCUUAACCCAGAGCCUGCAUUCAAUACUGACAGGCUAGAGUUCUGGAGGGGAUAGCGGAAUUCCUGGUGUAGCGGUGAAAUGCGCAGAUAUCAGGAAGAACACCCGUGGCGAAGGCGGCUCUCUGGGACGGUACUGACGCUGAGACGCGAAAGCGUGGGGAGCGAACAGG